UGCGGCGGCCGCGUCCGCCAGCUGCGGCUUCCUCCAGCCCCCCCUCCCGGGCGCGCCCCGACUCGCGGCAGCAGUUGCCGGGACUCGCGCGUGGGUGUGUUGUUUGUGGGCUUCUGCCUCGGCGCCGCGGGUGCCACCUCCCGGGACGCUGCCCAGCGUCCCCGGUCGCGAUCAAACAAAUAAUAGAAGU
rnacentral:lncRNA from 1 species